UACGGAGGGAGCUAGCGUUGUUCGGAAUUACUGGGCGUAAAGCGCACGUAGGCGGCUUUGUAAGUUAGAGGUGAAAGCCCGGGGCUCAACUCCGGAACUGCCUUUAAGACUGCAUCGCUUGAAUCCAGGAGAGGUGAGUGGAAUUCCGAGUGUAGAGGUGAAAUUCGUAGAUAUCGAGAGGAACACCGGUGGCGAAGGCGGCCAACUGGACAGAUACUGACGCUGAGACACGAAAGCGUGGGUAGCAAACAGG
rnacentral:rRNA from 1 species